rnacentral:misc_RNA from 1 species
AUUGCAGUGCAUUCCAUAUAUCGAAAAAAAGCGGCAUCUAUCAAAGGAAUUUCGCAAAGAAUAAUUUUUAUUUUUUGUGCCGCAAGUUGUAGAAAAUAGUUAAUAAAGCCGGAACGUAUUUCCGAAUGUGUUGCAGUGAACAAAAGAGAGUAUUGGUGGACCACUAAGUACCCCCCUCGAGGACAUUGAUGCAUUGAUAAAUAGCUACCCGAAGGCAUCAUGUACAACGGCAUUGGUUUGACAACCGCCCGCGGCUCCGGUACCAACGGACAUGUGCAGCGCAAUUGUGCAUUCGUUCGGCCGGGCAAAAAGGACAAGGACUAUCGCAGCGAAGAUGACAUCAAAAAGUUGGACGCCCAGCUGAAUCGUCCGCCAAAUAAGGAAAUUCUUGACCAUGACCGCAAGCGCAAGAUCGAAGUCAAGUGCUUGGAAUUCGAGGAGAUACUCGAGAAGCAGGGACGCACACCGGAGGACAUCAAAUCGCAAGUGGACUCGUUCCGUCAGAAGUUAGUGGGCCAAGGGAAGACAGAUGCACCAAAGGAUGAAUUUGGACGCGUAGCUGCUCGCGACACCCAUCAGAUAGCCGAGGCACAGCAGCAAAAGAACGCAAGGCUGCGCGAGGCCUUCAACAUAUCGAGCUACUUUGUGGAGGGCAGCAGCUUCGACAACGAUCGCAAAGCAAAAGAGGAUCUGGCCAAAAGCGUGGCUCUACAAAAGGAACUGGACGCACAGCGCGAAAGCCUGGCAGCGGCGGCAGCGGCUGCAGCAGCUGCUGCAGGCAAGGACAAGGAUACGGGCAAGCGAUAUGCUUUGGUCCGUACCCCAUCCCGAGAGCGAGAGCGGGAUGGAGAAGGCCAUGUUGCCGCCGCCAGUGGCGAUGAGCGCGAACAUGUCUCAAAGUCGGACAAGAAGAAGCGCAAGAAGCGCGCCAGAGAAAGCUCUGCCAGUCCUGAGCGCAAAAAGGACAAGAAAAAGAAGUCAAAGAAGCACAAGAAAGAGAGUAAGUCCAAAAAGAAGAAGUCCCGCAAGCGCAAGCACAGCGCCAGUUGCACCGACAAGGAAACCGACAAGGACAGCGACGAGGAGGCGGCGGGCAGCAGCGAUGAGGAGCGCGACCGCGAUCGUGAGCUAAAGAGCGCACGCAAGAAAGCCAAGAAGGACAAGAAAAAGCGCGACAAGAAGCUGAAAAAGAAGUCACGGGCCCGUGCCAGCUCCUCGGACUCGGAGCCCUCCAACUCACCGUCGCGUAAUGAACGCAAAGGCAAGAAGUCGGGCAAAUCCCGCGAUCCAACAGCUACCAAAGCUGAAGACAAUGGCACAUCGCGGGAGAAUCCCUUCCGGAGCAGGUCCCGCGAACGUCGCAGGGAAUUAAAGCGGCCCAACGAAUCAUCGGCCGACGGUCGAAGGGACAAGCGCGAGCGUAGCGAUAGUCGCAGUCGACGUCCCAAGUCCAAUGAACGGGGGGCAACCACCCGUACUCCACCUCGCAAAGAGCCGGAAAGAAAGCGCGAACGUUCUAAGGAGAGAUUUCGAUCAAAAGAAAGGCAACGAUCAAAAGAAAGACAGCGAUCAAAGGAAAGACUUCGUUCGAAGGAAAGACAACGCUCGAAAGAAAGACAGCGAUCAAAGGAACGACCAAAAUCGAAGGAGAGACAGAGGUCGAGGGAAAGACAGCGAUCGAAGGAGAGGAUCCGCUCCAAAGAAAGACAGCGUUCAAAGGAAAGGCAACGCUCUAAAGAGAGGCAAAAGUCUAAGGAUAGACAGAGAUCUAAGGAUAGGCAGAGAUCUAAGGAUAGGCAGAGGUCAAAAGAGAGACAGAGGUCAAAGGAGAGGCAGCGAUCAAAGGCGAGACUUUAUUCGAAAGAGAGACUGCGAUCCAAGGAGAGGGCGCGAUCAAAGGAUAAACCAGUAGUUGAAAUCAAGCGCGACAGAUCAAAGGAUCGCCAGCGAUCAAAGGAGAGGAAACGAUCGGUGGAUAAGGCACCCUCGAAGGAGAGAGAUAUGUCCAAAGGUCGACAAAGAUCAAAGGAGAGACAGCGCUCCAAAGAAAGACGACGUUCUAAGGAUCGCGGUCAACAAUCGAAUGAGAAAAAGCGUUCCAAGGAGCGACAACGAUCAAAAGACCGUCAACGAUCCAAGGAGCGACAGGGAGUGCCAAACCUAGCCGUCUCUAAGGAACGUACCCGGCGCCAGAGAUCGCCAUCGACCUCGGCCAAAAAUUCAACCGAUAAUCGCAAGCCUACUCGCAGUUCUAGAUCACUUUCCCGUUCCCGCAAGCAGCAGUCGCCGGCCGCAGUUGUCGGGAGCAGCCGACGCAGUCAUUCCCCAGAGGUUCCACCCAAGAAGGCUGCGCCACCGGCAUUCAAUCCCUUUAAGGCUGCAGAAGACACUGUCAACGAUAUCCUGGGCACCAAGUCGGUGAUUGUCGAACUGGAGAAGACCAAGCGCAAGCGGGCAGUCUCCAGCUCUAGCUCGGCAUCGGGUAGCUCCAGUAGCAGCUCGUCUGCAUCCCGGACACCUUCGCCCAAGCCCAAGCCUGGCAAACUGCGACGACGCAGCAAAACAUCCGAUCCUAUCAAGAAGGAGAGGAGCCCCAAGCGAGAUCGUCGUACCCCGCGCCAGACCAGCGUGAAGCGUGAACGUUCAAGCACUCCACAAAAGCCCAAGCCAAAGGGAAAGGCGACCACACCCAGUCCGAAGCCAGCAAAGCGACGCUCGCACAGCUCAAGCUCUUCGGAACUGCGCUACUCGCCAGCAGAACGACAUCCAGAGCGCUAUCAGGACAUCAUACAAGACAAGAAGCGGCCAUCGAAGGCACGCGACCUUUCCACAACGAAGCCCGCGCCCGUGGUGCGCCUGAGGGCCCAGAGCGAUGACGGCAGCGAUGCCGAUGCGAGUGGCUCCAAUGUGGAUGCAGCAGCACUUGACGAGUUCCAGCAGAGCAAGCAAGAGCGCGAGGAGCUGCAGGAGCUGCGUAUGCUGGAGCAGCUCAAGUCGGGGAUCGCCGCCAAGGCAAAGCAGAAGAUCAAGACUAUGGAGAAGAACGGAGACGUCAGCAAGGACUCUGCCAAGGAGGGCAGUGAACCCUUAGUUGCUGCACUCGCCGACAGCAGUCUGGUGGACGCCAUCGUCUCCAAGGUGUCCACGGCCACUGUGGCUGCAGCGGAGAGUGCAGCUCGUCGAAGUCGGAGUCGUUCACGCCGCAGCAGUCACAGCCGCAGCAAGCGGCACACGAGUGGCAGUCAUCAUCAUCAUCACUCCAGUAGUCGCUCAAGAUCACGCUCCAGCUCCAGCAGCAGUGCCAGCGGCUCGCGCAGUUCUAGGUCCCGCUCUGGCUCGCAAUCAUCUCGUUCCAGCUGCUCAUCCCAAAGCAGCUCGGGCAGCUCCUCCAGCAGCGGCUCAGGCACAUCACAGUCUGGCUCACGUUCCCCAUCUAUACCACGGCGUCGGGGCUCACCCAGCUUUCUAGACAGACGCCGCAUUACGAGCCGUCGGCCGCCGCCCAGCACCAGACGCUAGUUGCUUUCCAUUGAACUUUGUGUUGCAUCGAUUUCCCAAUUUGUUUAAACACGGCACCUGAUUUUAUUUAAUUGAUCUUGAUUAUUCUUUUUUCCAGCUGACUCAGGAACUACUUAUAGUUUGAUUUUCAAAUUUAUUUCUUCCUUUCAAUGCAAUACAUAUAUUUGUGUGUGCUUGUAAAAUUUUUGUUCUGAUUAUUUCUCGUAUUUAGCGCAAGAUCUAUUGAUUUUGUGGUACACACGCCAAUAAAACAUGUCAUCUCUUAUAUCUUAUUGUUUCCUAGGACAUAAUUUCUAUAAUUUAUUUUUAGCGAAUUUUUAUUGUGUUGAUUACAAUUUUCAGUUGUGCUCGCAAGCGACCCAUUCCCUACCACCACAAGGCAGCCGGUGGCACUGAGGGGGGUGCUGCAGAGGCAGAGGAGGCCUCCAGCUGCUGCU